rnacentral:rRNA from 1 species
UACAGAGGGUGCGAGCGUUAAUCGGAAUUACUGGGCGUAAAGCGUGCGUAGACGGUUACGUAAGUCGGGUGUGAAAGCCCCGGGCUCAACCUGGGAAUUGCAUUCGAGACUGCAAGGCUAGGGUGCGGAAGAGGGAAGCGGAAUUUCCGGUGUAGCGGUGAAAUGCGUAGAUAUUCGCAAGAACACCAGUGGCGAAGGCGGCUCACUGGCCCGAUACUGACGCUGAGGCACGAAAGCGUGGGGAGCAAACAGG